UACGUAGGGUGCGAGCGUUAAUCGGAAUUACUGGGCGUAAAGCGUGCGCAGGCGGUUAUAUAAGACAGAUGUUAAAUCCCCGGGCUCCACCUGGGAACUGCAUUUGUGACUGUAUAUCUAGAGGGCGGCAGAGGGGGAUGGAAUUUCGCGUGUAGCAGUGAAAUGCGUAGAUAUGCGGAGGAACACCGAUGGCGAAGGCAAUCCCUUGGGCCUGCACUGACGCUCAUGCACGAAAGCGUGGGGAGCAAACAGGAUUAGAUACCCUGGUAGUACACGCCCUAAACGAUGUCAACUGGUUGUUGGGUCUUCACUGACUCAGUAACGAAGCUAACGCGUGAAGUUGACCGCCUGGGGAGUACGGCCGCAAGGUUG
rnacentral:rRNA from 1 species